GGUGUGUAUCGCUGUAUCUCUAGGCUUGGAGAGGGAAAGUGACUUGCCGAAGGACACAGAGCUGAUUGGAAGGAAGGCCGGGAGUGCCGCCUGGGUCUGAGGCUCCUGGCCCAGUGCUCCUCUUCUUAGCCACAGUGUUCCAUCCUGGCAUUUGAUAUACAUGGACAUUAGUAGCUGCUACUGUGAGGAGUUGCCCAACAGCCUGAGGGCAGUGAGUGUCUUCAGGAGACUGAGGUCCGCCCCACGGGUUUCAUAACUUCACUGAGUUCUUACAAUGAGAGGGACACAUCAAGAGCAUGGCUUCCACACUGUUGCACUCUAAACUUUUCUUCAUUGAUGGUCAGUGCGCACAUAUCUUGGCUCUGACUUCUUGCUGUCUAAUCCUAUUUUACAGAUAUUUAGGGAUCGAAGAUGAAGGUGAGGUUGGUAGCUCCCUGAGGGCCUCAUGCACCUAGUUUCACCUUUGCAAGGUGUGAAGGCCCCAGGCAGGGGACUCCUUUGAGGGUGUGAGUCACUGGGAUGAGAAACCUUUGGACCUUCAGGAACAGGAUCUUCACCCCAGUACAUUUCACAACCUGGGAGGGGGAGCUCCAGUUCCAGGUAGAGGAAGAAAUGCUUAGGGAGUGGAUAGGAUGUGCCAGACCCUUUGCUAAACCUUUGAACAGAUUUUACUUCAUAUAAUUCUCACCUUUGCCCUGCAAGUUUGGUGCAGUAUCCCCAUUUGACUGAUGAAGAAAUCAAGGCUUAGAGAGGGUAACCUGCCUGAGGUCUCAGCUUAAAUGAGCUGAGCUAUGAUUUGAACUCAGUGCCCAUUGGACUCCAGAAACUGCAUUUAGAAGAGGUCAAGGGCGAAAUGCUCCUGGGACCUGGGGGGAACUCCCUCUGAACCAACUCCAGGGGUAGGCUGGGUGAUUUCUUUGCCUUUAGGUUCACCUCCAUCCCUACUGGGCCCACAUCUGCUGCCGGAUGUGGUUCCUCAGGAUCCUCCAUUUCUCCUAGUCUCCCCACCAACCCAGGUGGGAGCUCUUGAUUAGGGGCUGCUCUCCUCUGGAGGUCACACGGUGCCCAUCUCAGCAUUUUUUUUUUUCUGGCAAGAAGGCGUAACUAGCCUUAAAGGGGAGGUGUCUUAGAGAUGCCAGUCACCACAUGCUCUGCCCACAUUCCUUCUGGGAGACUCUUUACUUUCAACCUGCCCCCCAGAGCCCAAGUUGAUUGUUCUAAAAUAGACACCUAACCAAGGUCAUCAGGUGUAAUCAUCCCAGCUCCUUGUGCUUUGGGAGACUUUGCAUAGCAAAGAGGAGCUGUAUUGAUCUGAUGCCUUUUCAAGGAUUGGGGGACUGGGCAUUAACUCAGUGAGGGCACUUGCAUUGCAAAGGCUGUGAUGCAGAAAGAGGACCAGGAAGCGAGGAGAGGCCUAAUGAUCCACUUCUGAAUUGAUGAAUAAAUAAAC
rnacentral:lncRNA from 1 species